UGAGUAACACGUGGGUAACCUGCCUGUAAGACUGGGAUAACUCCGGGAAACCGGAGCUAAUACCGGAUAGUUCCUUGAACCGCAUGGUUCAAGGAUGAAAGACGGUUUCGGCUGUCACUUACAGAUGGACCCGCGGCGCAUUAGCUAGUUGGUGAGGUAACGGCUCACCAAGGCGACGAUGCGUAGCCGACCUGAGAGGGUGAUCGGCCACACUGGGACUGAGACACGGCCCAGACUCCUACGGGAGGCAGCAGUAGGGAAUCUUCCGCAAUGGACGAAAGUCUGACGGAGCAACGCCGCGUGAGUGAUGAAGGUUUUCGGAUCGUAAAGCUCUGUUGUUAGGGAAGAACAAGUGCAAGAGUAACUGCUUGCACCUUGACGGUACCUAACCAGAAAGCCACGGCUAACUACGUGCCAGCAGCCGCGGUAAUACGUAGGUGGCAAGCGUUGUCCGGAAUUAUUGGGCGUAAAGGGCUCGCAGGCGGUUUCUUAAGUCUGAUGUGAAAGCCCCCGGCUCAACCGGGGAGGGUCAUUGGAAACUGGGAAACUUGAGUGCAGAAGAGGAGAGUGGAAUUCCACGUGUAGCGGUGAAAUGCGUAGAGAUGUGGAGGA
rnacentral:rRNA from 1 species